rnacentral:tRNA from 1 species
GCCUGGGUGGCUCAGUUGGUUAAGCGUCUGACUCUUGAUUUCAAAGACUUUCAAGAGUCUUUCUGACUCUUGAUACCUGAGGUCAUGAUCUCAGAGUUGUGGGAUCGAGUCCCACCUUGGGCU